UGAUGGUAUUCUGACCUCUGGGCCAGAGCGUGAUUAACGGCCAGGGUUCUCCUGAUGGGAGCAAUCCGACGGCUGUAGAGGAUCGUUCCUGCCCAGCUAACCCUGGCGCAGGGUGGCCCAGAGGUUGUCUGA